UGAUAAAUGGGAUAAAUAGUCAGUGAUGAUAGUGUGAUAGUAUUAAUGCUGGUUUUGUUCUCUUGGGAAGCGUCGCUGCUGUUUACGCUUGGUCUGUCUGCAGGCUCUGGGAGUCUCAGACAGGCAGCAGCUGGUUCAGCGAAGCCCAGUAGCCGAGGAGAGGCGGGGGUAAGGGUGGCUGAAGACGCUCAAUUAGCAACCAAUCAUCUGUUUUUAAUGAACCAGCCUGCAUCAGUGUGCAGGGUCAGCUUGCAGGGCUGCAAGCGGAGCUAUAUAUUGUUUAUGCUCACAUUAAGACUGCAUUUCUCAGCAUCCCUGCACAUGGCCGUUCCCCUCCCCGUCUCUAAGAGGGGUAAACAUGCAACAAAAAUUCAGCUUUUCUCUCUUUCUACCAUCUGCUGCCAACACAGGAUCCAAACAAACUUCAGUCCAAGUCAAGUCAAUAUUAAUUAAAGAUUCUCAAUGAGCACAAAGUGUUAAAACAAUUAGGCAUGAAAAUGUUUUCAACUACAUUAUCUUCUUGAUACAUGCGCCGGUUGGGAGGGAAUCCGCCGUUACCUCCUCCCCCUCCUUGCAUGUCGUGACAUCCAGUGUUUUAAUGUUUUGGCUGCUGACAGCUUCCUGUUCUCUCCUGCUGAGUAAACAGACACAGAUCAGGUUCCACAGGAAGAGACAUCAGACAGUCCUGAUCAAGCAAGACUUGUGACUUUAAACUCAGAAUGAGGACUACGAGCCUGACUGAUCUUCUUCCUCUGUGUCACAGAGCCUCACUGUGUGCUCCUUUAUAAACAUCCAUUUCAAGUGCAUGUAUCACUUAAAGAAUACAAAGAGAGUAUUUGCAGUUGUCAGUAGAAUUUUAAAGCCAUGUAAUAAAAAUGUACACACAGUAUGGAUUUUAUGGCUUAUCAGUUUGAUACAUGUGAUUCUGGUUUUGUCUUUGCCAAACCUAAGUUAAAGCUGCUGUUUCCAACAGACAUUUAAAGCUUGAGCUCUUUUAGUCUGUCGUUAUUGUUAUUACAAGAUGUGCGAGUGUUGAGCUGACUAAUGUUCAUGUCACAGUUUGGGACUUUCUGACGUCUGAGUGAAAUCCAGGUGUGUCUUGGAAGCUGGUGAGAGACAAAACUCUCCCAGCAGCGUCUUAAUGCCUUCCUGUCUUUGUCUUGCCUUUCUCAGGUCGACUCCGCUGAUACAAUAGUGUUUUGUCCAGAGAACAGUGGACAUUUCCUCUCCUCCUCCACGUCUUUAUCAUCCAGACGCUGCAGCACAAAUGAGCCCAAGGAAAAAUUGUACAGGACAAAGUGGGACAAAAGUCAAAAGUCAGCACGCAGACAAUGAUCUGGAGUUUGAAAUAUGGCAUUAUUUAAUCGUCUUAUCACUUUUAAUUUUUCUUUAGAAGAAUGAAUAGAGGCUGGAUCAUGUACACAUUACACAUUCACAGCAUUGUUUGACUCUGUUCUCACACAUUUUGGAUUACUUGAUUGUCUUCCACCCUACGGUCACAGAAAAGUCUGAAUUAUCUCACAAAAAUAACAUUUAAUUGACUAAAACUGUCCCGGCUGCACUGGCAGACCAUGGGGUUGCAACAUAUAAACAAGUCCAAAGCUGCUCAUGGACCCUGGGUCAUCACACCCAGGUCCCUGACAGUUGCACUAAAGUGGGCUGUCCAUGUACCUUCAAAAGGUUAUAGAGUAGGGGUGGGCAACUCCAGGCCUCGAGUGUCCUGCAGGUUUUAGAUCUCACCCUGGGUCAACACACCUGAAUCAGAUGAUUAGUUCACUACCAGGCCUCUGGAGACCUUCAGGA